GACACGGCCCAUGUUUACUUGACCAAAAUGAAAAACAAAACAAAAUCAAGAAAAACUCUUGUGAAAAUAAAGAAGAGAUUUUAGAGAGAAAUGGGGGCAGCAAGCAAGGUGGGAGACUGGGCAUUCAAGGGGUUUACGGCAACACUGGGAUUGGCAACCAUCUAUCUCACCACCACUUUCUCCGUUAAUGUUUACAGGGGUCUUUCUUGGCAUAACGCCCAAUCGAAAUUGAACGAGGAAGAGCAAAAUGAUCAGAAAAAUGCGGCCUGAAAUUUUGUAGUUUGCCAUCACAUGCUGAAUAAACACCCUUUUGUUUUAUGCAAUAUGUUUAUUUUUUUAUAUUUUUGAUAAAGAAUACAUGUUAGACAAGUCAUAUGCACAAAUCUCAAAAAUUACUUGGUAGGAUUCUGAAACAGUGUAUUGCAAACUUUGUGCUUCAUGUAUGGCUUCUUUUUGAAUGUAAAAUGAUAUAUUUGCACUGAGAAACUUGAUUAGUAAAGCUAUGAUUUGCAGCUGAUUCAGUUUGGUUUA